rnacentral:rRNA from 1 species
GACGAAGGGGGCUAGCGUUGUUCGGAAUUACUGGGCGUAAAGCGAGUGUAGGUGGUUGUCCAAGUUGGAUGUGAAAGCCUUGAGCUCAACUCAAGAAAUGCAUUCAGGACUGGGCGGCUAGAGGACCGGAGAGGAUAGUGGAAUUCCCAGUGUAGUGGUGAAAUACGUAGAGAUUGGGAAGAACACCAGUGGCGAAGGCGGCUAUCUGGACGGUUUCUGACACUAAGACUCGAGAGCGUGGGGAGCAAACAGG